rnacentral:rRNA from 1 species
AACUUUCAACAACGGAUCUCUNGGUUCNGGCAUCGAUGAAGAACGCAGCAAAAUGCGAUAAGUAAUGUGAAUCGCAGAAUUCAGUGAAUCAUCGAAUCUUUGAACGCACAUUGCGCCCGCCAGUAUUCUGGCGGGCAUGCCUGUUCGAGC